rnacentral:tRNA from 1 species
AAGAGGUGUAUGAACAUCUAGAACUGCUAAUUCCAGCGACCAGGACUAAAAUUUUUGGGCCUCUU